GUGAGGGUAAUGUGAGGUAGAGUGAGGUAGAAUGACUGUAGUAUGAUGUAGAGUGAGUGUAGUGUGAGGGUAAUGUGAGGUAGAGUGAGGUAGAAUGGCUGUAGUAUGAUGUAGAGUGAGUGUAGUGUGAGGGUAAUGUGAGGUAGAGUGAGGUAGAAUGGCUGUAGUAUGAUGUAGAGUGAGUGUAGUGUGAGGGUAAUGUGAGGUAGAGUGAGGUAGAAUGGCUGUAGUAUGAUGUAGAGUGAGUGUAGUGUGAGGGUAAUGUGAGGUGGAGUGAGGUAGAAUGGCUGUAGUAUGAUGUAGAGUGAGUGUAGUGUGAGGGUAAUGUGAGGUAGAGUGGGAUAUUUUUCCCAACCCUAAUAUCCACUACAUAGCAAUUACCCAGCAGCUUAAUAAAACACUCCUUUAUUAAUCAAUCAACCAAUCAGAUCAACCAACCAACCAAUCAACCAAUCAAAUUAGAUCAGAUCAGAUCAGAUCAGUGGCAUUAUGAAUCAUUAUUA